CACUAUCGUUAACUGAAUACAUAGGUUAACGAGGCGAACCGGGGGAACUGAAACAUCUAAGUACCCCGAGGAAAAGAAAUCAACCGAGAUUCCCCCAGUAGCGGCGAGCGAACGGGGAGCAGCCCAGAGUCUGAAUCAGCUUGUGUGUUAGUGGAACGGUCUGGAAAGUCCGACGGUACAGGGUGAUAGUCCCGUACACCAAAAUGCACAGGUUGUGAACUCGAAGAGUAGGGCGGGACACGUGGUAUCCUGUCUGAAUAUGGGGGGACCAUCCUCCAAGGCUAAAUACUCCUGACUGACCGAUAGUGAACCAGUACCGUGAGGGAAAGGCGAAAAGAACCCCGGCGAGGGGAGUGAAAAAGAACCUGAAACCGUGUACGUACAAGCAGUGGGAGCACCUUCGGGUGUGACUGCGUACCUUUUGUAUAAUGGGUCAGCGACUUAUAUUCUGUAGCAAGGUUAACCGUAUAGGGGAGCCGCAGGGAAACCGAGUCUUAACUGGGCGUUAAGUUGCAGGGUAUAGACCCGAAACCCGGUGAUCUAGCCAUGGGCAGGUUGAAGGUUGGGUAACACUAACUGGAGGACCGAACCGACUAAUGUUGAAAAAUUAGCGGAUGACUUGUGGCUGGGGGUGAAAGGCCAAUCAAACCGGGAGAUAGCUGGUUCUCCCCGAAAGCUAUUUAGGUAGCGCCUCGUGAACUCAUCUUCGGGGGUAGAGCACUGUUUCGGCUAGGGGGUCAUCCCGACUUACCAACCCGAUGCAAACUACGAAUACCGAAGAAUGUUAUCACGGGAGACACACGGCGGGUGCUAACGUCCGUCGUGAAGAGGGAAACAACCCAGACCGCCAGCUAAGGUCCCAAAGUCAUGGUUAAGUGGGAAACGAUGUGGGAAGGCACAGACAGCCAGGAUGUUGGCUUAGAAGCAGCCAUCAUUUAAAGAAAGCGUAAUAGCUCACUGGUCGAGUCGGCCUGCGCGGAAGAUGUAACGGGGCUAAACCAUGCACCGAAGCUGCGGCAGCGACACUAUGUGUUGUUGGGUAGGGGAGCGUUCUGUAAGCCUGCGAAGGUGUGCUGUGAGGCAUGCUGGAGGUAUCAGAAGUGCGAAUGCUGACAUAAGUAACGAUAAAGCGGGUGAAAAGCCCGCUCGCCGGAAGACCAAGGGUUCCUGUCCAACGUUAAUCGGGGCAGGGUGAGUCGACCCCUAAGGCGAGGCCGAAAGGCGUAGUCGAUGGGAAACAGGUUAAUAUUCCUGUACUUGGUGUUACUGCGAAGGGGGGACGGAGAAGGCUAUGUUAGCCGGGCGACGGUUGUCCCGGUUUAAGCAUGUAGGCUGGUUAUCCAGGCAAAUCCGGAUAAUCAAGGCUGAGGUGUGAUGACGAGGCACUACGGUGCUGAAGUAACAAAUGCCCUGCUUCCAGGAAAAGCCUCUAAGCAUCAGGUAACAUCAAAUCGUACCCCAAACCGACACAGGUGGUCAGGUAGAGAAUACCAAGGCGCUUGAGAGAACUCGGGUGAAGGAACUAGGCAAAAUGGUGCCGUAACUUCGGGAGAAGGCACGCUGGUGUGUAGGUGAAGUCCCUGCGGAUGGAGCUGAGACCAGUCGAAGAUACCAGCUGGCUGCAACUGUUUAUUAAAAACACAGCACUGUGCAAACACGAAAGUGGACGUAUACGGUGUGACGCCUGCCCGGUGCCGGAAGGUUAAUUGAUGGGGUUAUCCGUAAGGAGAAGCUCUUGAUCGAAGCCCCGGUAAACGGCGGCCGUAACUAUAACGGUCCUAAGGUAGCGAAAUUCCUUGUCGGGUAAGUUCCGACCUGCACGAAUGGCGUAAUGAUGGCCAGGCUGUCUCCACCCGAGACUCAGUGAAAUUGAACUCGCUGUGAAGAUGCAGUGUACCCGCGGCAAGACGGAAAGACCCCGUGAACCUUUACUAUAGCUUGACACUGAACAUUGAGCCUUGAUGUGUAGGAUAGGUGGGAGGCUUUGAAGCGUGGACGCCAGUCUGCGUGGAGCCAACCUUGAAAUACCACCCUUUAAUGUUUGAUGUUCUAACGUUGGCCCCUGACCGGGGUUGCGGACAGUGUCUGGUGGGUAGUUUGACUGGGGCGGUCUCCUCCCAAAGCGUAACGGAGGAGCACGAAGGUUAGCUAAUCCUGGUCGGACAUCAGGAGGUUAGUGCAAUGGCAUAAGCUAGCUUGACUGCGAGCGUGACGGCGCGAGCAGGUGCGAAAGCAGGUCAUAGUGAUCCGGUGGUUCUGAAUGGAAGGGCCAUCGCUCAACGGAUAAAAGGUACUCCGGGGAUAACAGGCUGAUACCGCCCAAGAGUUCAUAUCGACGGCGGUGUUUGGCACCUCGAUGUCGGCUCAUCACAUCCUGGGGCUGAAGUAGGUCCCAAGGGUAUGGCUGUUCGCCAUUUAAAGUGGUACGCGAGCUGGGUUUAGAACGUCGUGAGACAGUUCGGUCCCUAUCUGCCGUGGGCGCUGGAGAAUUGAGGGGGGCUGCUCCUAGUACGAGAGGACCGGAGUGGACGCAUCACUGGUGUUCGGGUUGUCAUGCCAAUGGCACUGCCCGGUAGCUAAAUGCGGAAGAGAUAAGUGCUGAAAGCAUCUAAGCACGAAACUUGCCCCGAGAUGAGUUCUCCCUGAGACUUUAAGUCUCCUGAAGGAACGUUAAAGACGAUGACGUUGAUAGGCCGGGUGUGUAAGCGCAGCGAUGCGUUGAGCUAACCGGUACUAAUGAACCGUGAGGCUUAACCUU
rnacentral:rRNA from 1 species